AAUUCCGAAUUGCAGACGCUUAGAGUGGUGAAAUUUUGAACGCAUAGCGUCGUUGGGUUUUCCCUUCGGCACGUCUGGUUCAGGGUUGUUAAAUGCUAUAAAUAUAGAUCUGCAUAUAUUUAUUGGUAUAUACGGUGAUUGAUAAUGAUGCAUGACAUCGCAUCUGAUUUCAUCAUAUCUGUAUAUACUUGGAUAAUAAAUAUAUAUGGAUACUGUAUGUCAAACGGCACUUGAAAUCUUCGACAAUGAUGUCGUCGAUUCGAUUCCCGUUUUAGUAACGAAUGAAAUGACUACAAAAUGUAAAAUACGUACAUAUACGUCGUAUUUUAUAUCGAAUGUGAUUUAUCAUGAUGUAUAAUAAUAAUAAUGUGUAUGUGGCAUGUAUGGUAUGGUGUUGUUUAAGUGUGAUUGUUGUGUUGCUAUUACCAUCGUCGAUGUAUUCGUUCGUUUGUCGAUGAAAAUUGAUGAUGUGACAUGUGAUUCUUAGCAACAAGAGCAUAUAUACACACGCAAAUAAAACACUAUAAACAUACACACAUUGUUGUUUAAUGACAUUGAAAAAUCACAUUUCAUUCUUGUUAAUGCAACCUGAGCUCAGAUGUGAUUACCCGCUGAACUUAAGCAUAUCAUUUAGCGG
rnacentral:rRNA from 1 species